GAAAUGAUGGCCUUUUCAAAGAAAUGGACAGAAUCAUUGUACUACACAAAAUAAGCUAGCUGCAGAAAGACAAAUAUGGUCACAAGCAGUAUUUGGACAGACAAUAGUAUCAACCUGCAGGACUUUGCUGGAGCUCAUUUACUACCCGGGACAGUAUGGACACCAUUAAUUUCCUGGACAUGCAAAAAAUCAUUACCGAAUAGCAGCCAAGACACUAAAUAAUUGAUUUAAUUAAUAUAACAUAAUUAAACAUAUUAAAUAUUUAUACA